rnacentral:rRNA from 1 species
CGGACGGGUGAGUAACGCGUGAGAAUCUGCCUACAGGACGGGGACAACAGUUGGAAACGACUGCUAAUACCCGAUGUGCCGAGAGGUGAAACAUUUAUGGCCUGUAGAUGAGCUCGCGUCUGAUUAGCUAGUUGGUGGGGUAAGGGCCUACCAAGGCGACGAUCAGUAGCUGGUCUGAGAGGAUGAUCAGCCACACUGGGACUGAGACACGGCCCAGACUCCUACGGAAGGCAGCAGUGGGGAAUUUUCCGCAAUGGGCGCAAGCCUGACGGAGCAACGCCGCGUGGGGGAGGAAGGUUUUUGGACUGUAAACCCCUUUUCUCAGGGAAGAAGAAAGUGACGGUACCUGAGGAAUAAGCCUCGGCUAAUUCCGUGCCAGCAGCCGCGGUAAUACGGGAGAGGCAAGCGUUAUCCGGAAUUAUUGGGCGUAAAGCGUCCGCAGGCGGUUAAUCAAGUCUGUUGUCAAAGCGUGGGGCUCAACCUCAUACAGGCAAUGGAAACUGAUUGACUAGAGUAUGGUAGGGGUAGCGGGAAUUCCAGGUGUAGCGGUGAAAUGCGUAGAUAUCUGGAAGAACACCAGCGGCGAAAGCGCGCUACUGGGCCAUAACUGACGCUCAUGGACGAAAGCUAGGGGAGCUAAAGGGAUUAGAUACCCCUGUAGUC